GACGAACGCUGGCGGCGUGCUUAACACAUGCAAGUCGAACGGAAAGGCCCUGCUUGCAGGGUACUCGAGUGGCGAACGGGUGAGUAACACGUGGGUGAUCUGCCCUGCACUUCGGGAUAAGCCUGGGAAACUGGGUCUAAUACCGGAUAGGAGCCAUUUUUAGUGUGAUGGUUGGAAAGUUUUUUCGGUGUAGGAUGAGCUCGCGGCCUAUCAGCUUGUUGGUGGGGUAAUGGCCUACCAAGGCGGCGACGGGUAGCCGGCCUGAGAGGGUGGACGGCCACAUUGGGACUGAGAUACGGCCCAGACUCCUACGGAGGCAGCAGUGGGGAAUAUUGCACAAUGGGCGCAAGCCUGAUGCAGCGACGCCGCGUGGGGGAUGACGGCCUUCGGGUUGUAAACGCCUUUCGCUAGGGACGAAGCUUUUUGUGACGGUACCUAGAGAAGAAGCACCGGCUAACUACGUG
rnacentral:rRNA from 1 species